AGAGUUUGAUCAUGGCUCAGGAUGAACGCUGGCGGCGUGCCUAACACACGCAAGUCGAGCGAUUUACUUCGGUAAAGAGCGGCGGACGGGUGAGUAACGCGUGGGUAACCUGCCUCAUACACAUGGAUAACAUACCGAAAGGUAUGCUAAUACAAGAUGAUAUAAGAGAUUCGCAUGGAUUUCUUAUCAAAGCUCCGGCGGUAUGAGAUGGACCCGCGUCUGAUUAGCUAGUUGGUAAGGUAACGGCUUACCAAGGCGACGAUCAGUAGCCGACCUGAGAGGGUGAUCGGCCACAUUGGAACUGAGACACGGUCCAAACUCCUACGGGAGGCAGCAGUGGGGAAUAUUGCACAAUGGGCGAAAGCCUGAUGCAGCAACGCCGCGUGAGCGAUGAAGGCCUUCGGGUCGUAAAGCUCUGUCCUCAAGGAAGAUAAUGACGGUACUUGAGGAGGAAGCCCCGGCUAACUACGUGCCAGCAGCCGCGGUAAUACGUAGGGGGUUAGCGUUAUCCGGAUUUACUGGGCGUAAAGGGUGCGUAGGUGGUUUCUUAAGUCAGGAGUGAAAGGCUACGGCUCAACCGUAGUAAGCUCUUGAAACUGGGAAACUUGAGUGCAGGAGAGGAAAGUGGAAUUCCUAGUGUAGCGGUGAAAUGCGUAGAUAUUAGGAGGAACACCAGUAGCGAAGGCGGCUUUCUGGACUGUAACUGACACUGAGGCACGAAAGCGUGGGGAGCAAACAGGAUUAGAUACCCUGGUAGUCCACGCCGUAAACGAUGAGUACUAGGUGUCGGGGGUUACCCCCCUCGGUGCCGCAGCUAACGCAUUAAGUACUCCGCCUGGGGAGUACGCUCGCAAGAGUGAAACUCAAAGGAAUUGACGG
rnacentral:rRNA from 1 species